UACGUAGGGUGCAAGCGUUGUCCGGAAUUAUUGGGCGUAAAGAGCUCGUAGGCGGUCUGUCGCGUCGGAUGUGAAAAUCCAGGGCUUAACCCUGGGCCUGCAUUCGAUACGGGCAGACUAGAGUGCGGUAGGGGAGAUUGGAAUUCCUGGUGUAGCGGUGGAAUGCGCAGAUAUCAGGAGGAACACCAAUGGCGAAGGCAGAUCUCUGGGCCGUAACUGACGCUGAGGAGCGAAAGCAUGGGGAGCGAACAGG
rnacentral:rRNA from 1 species